rnacentral:rRNA from 1 species
GUGGGGAAUAUUGGACAAUGGGCGCAAGCCUGAUCCAGCCAUGCCGCGUGAGUGAUGAAGGCCUUAGGGUUGUAAAGCUCUUUCGUCAGGGAAGAUAAUGACGGUACCUGAAGAAGAAGCCCCGGCUAACUUCGUGCCAGCAGCCGCGGUAAUACGAAGGGGGCUAGCGUUGCUCGGAAUCACUGGGCGUAAAGCGCACGUAGGCGGCUUUCUAAGUCAGGGGUGAAAUCCUGGAGCUCAACUCCAGAACUGCCUUUGAUACUGGAGAUCUUGAGUUCGGGAGAGGUGAGUGGAACUGCGAGUGUAGAGGUGAAAUUCGUAGAUAUUCGCAAGAACACCAGUGGCGAAGGCGGCUCACUAAGGCGAUACUGACGCUGAGGCACGAAAGCGUGGGGAUCGAACAGGAUUAGAUACCCCAGUAGUCC